rnacentral:rRNA from 1 species
GACGAACGCUGGCGGCGUGCUUAACACAUGCAAGUCGAACGGAAAGGCCCUGCUUUUGUGGGGUGCUCGAGUGGCGAACGGGUGAGUAACACGUGAGUAACCUGCCCUUGACUUUGGGAUAACUUCAGGAAACUGGGGCUAAUACCGGAUAGGAGCUCCUGCUGCAUGGUGGGGGUUGGAAAGUUUCGGCGGUUGGGGAUGGACUCGCGGCUUAUCAGCUUGUUGGUGGGGUAGUGGCUUACCAAGGCUUUGACGGGUAGCCGGCCUGAGAGGGUGACCGGCCACAUUGGGACUGAGAUACGGCCCAGACUCCUACGGGAGGCAGCAGUGGGGAAUAUUGCACAAUGGGCGGAAGCCUGAUGCAGCAACGCCGCGUGCGGGAUGACGGCCUUCGGGUUGUAAACCGCUUUCGCCUGUGACGAAGCGUGAGUGACGGUAAUGGGUAAAGAAGCACCGGCUAACUACGUGCCAGCAGCCGCGGUGAUACGUAGGGUGCGAGCGUUGUCCGGAUUUAUUGGGCGUAAAGGGCUCGUAGGUGGUUGAUCGCGUCGGAAGUGUAAUCUUGGGGCUUAACCCUGAGCGUGCUUUCGAUACGGGUUGACUUGAGGAAGGUAGGGGAGAAUGGAAUUCCUGGUGGAGCGGUGGAAUGCGCAGAUAUCAGGAGGAACACCAGUGGCGAAGGCGGUUCUCUGGGCCUUUCCUGACGCUGAGGAGCGGAAGCGUGGGGAGCGAACAGGCUUAGAUACCCUGGUAGUCCACGCUGUAAACGGUGGGUACUAGGUGUGGGGUCCAUUCCACGGGUUCCGUGCCGUAGCUAACGCUUUAAGUACCCCGCCUGGGGAGUACGGCCGCAAGGCUAAAACUCAAAGGAAUUGACGGGGCCCCGCACAAGCGGCGGAGCAUGCGGAUUAAUUCGAUGCAACGCGUAGAACCUUACCUGGGUUUGACAUGGAUCGGGAGUGCUCAGAGAUGGGUGUGCCUCUUUUGGGGUCGGUUCACAGGUGGUGCAUGGCUGUCGUCAGCUCGUGUCGUGAGAUGUUGGGUUAAGUCCCGCAACGAGCGCAACCCUUGUUCACUGUUGCCAGCACGUUAUGGUGGGGACUCAGUGGAGACCGCCGGGGUCAACUCGGAGGAAGGUGGGGAUGACGUCAAGUCAUCAUGCCCCUUAUGUCCAGGGCUUCACGCAUGCUACAAUGGCUGGUACAGAGAGUGGCGAGCCUGUGAGGGUGAGCGAAUCUCGGAAAGCCGGUCUCAGUUCGGAUUGGGGUCAGCAACUCGACCUCAUGAAGUCGGAGUCGCUAGUAAUCGCAGAUCAGCAACGCUGCGGUGAAUACGUUCCCGGGGCU